GAUGAACGCUGGCGGCGUGCCUAAUACAUGCAAGUCGAGCGAACAGACGAGGAGCUUGCUCCUCUGACGUUAGCGGCGGACGGGUGAGUAACACGUGGAUAACCUACCUAUAAGACUGGGAUAACUUCGGGAAACCGGAGCUAAUACCGGAUAAUAUAUUGAACCGCAUGGUUCAAUAGUGAAAGACGGUUUUGCUGUCACUUAUAGAUGGAUCCGCGCCGCAUUAGCUAGUUGGUAAGGUAACGGCUUACCAAGGCAACGAUGCGUAGCCGACCUGAGAGGGUGAUCCGCCACACUGGAACUGUGACACGGUCCAGACUCCUACGGGAGGCAGCAGUAGGGAAUCUUCCGCAAUGGGCGAAAGCCUGACGGAGCAACGCCGCGUGAGUGAUGAAGGUCUUCGGAUCGUAAAACUCUGUUAUUAGGGAAGAACAAAUGUGUAAGUAACUAUGCACGUCUUGACGGUACCUAAUCAGAAAGCCACGGCUAACUACGUG
rnacentral:rRNA from 1 species